UGUUUUGAAUUGACAACAAUAGUAGUGAAAACUUGAACAAAAAUAAAAUUGGCUUAAAAUUGGAGUGGAGGAUACGUGUAUGAAUGAUAAUGAAUCACUUCUUGUUGUAAUGCGUUUGUUGAGUAAGGAUGCAUAUGUGGGAAAAACACGUUUGAGGUGUCAAAUGGUUAAGUGUGCGCUGGGAAAAGUGGAGUCUGUCAGAGUGACCAGGAGUGACCUUAUUUUGAUUCAUUGUAUUUCUGAAGAACAGAGUAAGAUUGCAGUGAGCCUCAAAAGAAUGCGAACAACAUAAGUUUUGAACUUGAGUAGAGCACCCGUCAAAGGAGUCAUCUCAGGGGUGAAAAUUGAUGUUCAGGUUCCCGACGGAAGGAGUAUAUUGAAGAACGGUAUGUUGAAGGAGGACAGCGUUGCAAUUGUGGUGGGGAUCAUGAUCCAGCGUUCCUGGAUUGCCCUGUAAGGGUGAAGGAGAUUGACAUGGCAAAAGAAUCCUGUUUCCAUCCCGCACAGUAGGUGGCGAUAUACCAUUGCCAAUAUACCAUAGAAGAAUAAGAAGAUUCGGACACAACGGGGCCUGCAGGAGGACAGGUGACCCUGUACCUGCCUGAAGAAAGUGGGGGUAGGGGGUGCGUGCAGCUGGAAAACAAGACCAAGAUACAUUGUUGGCGGUGGUGCUUCAUGGGACUUUCAUAGUAGGUUAGGAGAGAAUUUUCGCUAAACUUAACCUCAGUCUCCUAACCUGCUAUGUUAAUUCUCCUAACCUGCUGCUUUAAUUUGCCUAACCUUCUGCAUCAAUUCUCUUAACCUGGUACGAAAAAGUCACUUUGGUAUCGAAGUGGCGUGAAGAGAGUCUUUCCCUGUGCUUCAUAGCUUAAAAAGCUUAAACUGAAAGCUGAAAUAACCUUUUAGGUACCAGCAGAGCUUGGGUAAUUAUAUAACUUGUCACAUAUAAUCUUAAAAUUCAAAGGGAAGAUGACUUUAAACAUCUUGUGGCUGCUGCUUAUUUACUAGACCGGGCAUGCUAUUAAACAUAUUAUCGCCUAAUCAGACCAUUUUUACUGAUCCAGCUGGGUGAGCCUUUUGUGAAUUAACACUCGGCACUUUACUUUUUUCCCCAUUACUAUCUAUGACUUUGCUGAGCAGGGUGUUUUCCUCCUCCAGAAACCUGUACUCCAGGGGCUGGGGUGAGAGGGCCGCCUGCACCCCCAGCUCAUAGUGCCCCCCUCCGUUCCCGUCCAGCCGGAGACCCUCCAGCCUGCGUCUGGAGGGUCUGGGGGGCUACUUACUAUGACUGUGAUUUGUGGUUGUCCCUCCAAUCUUAAGAUGAAUGCAAGUCUGAAUGCAAAACUGUAAGUCGUUCUUGAUAAAAGCGUCUGCCAAAUGACUCAAAUGAAUGUUGAGCAUAGCACAAAUGUUCAACCAACCUUUACUUGGUGAUACUUUCUCAAUUACCGACUUGGAAGACAACAUGUCUUCUAAACUUCCAAGUCUAGUUGCAGGAGGUUCAUUUGAAUGUAGAAAAUGCUCCGUUAUUACAUUUAAGAAAUGUUUUGCUCCAUGAAGUAAUCCAACAAUGUGUGCUUCUUUGAUGAAGUUUAACGGUGGUUGACAUCCAAUAAAUGUUGCAUUUACCGCCACCUACUAGACUGGAGUAUAACUCCCUUAUACUUUGCUUGAAAAAAUGAAUAAACCAAUACCCUAAAACUAAACUCACUAAAACAUAUCUGUAUUUUUAAAACACCACCCUACUCCACUAUUUAAAUCUAUUUAGUCCUACUUCAGGCAAACAGCCUGAAAGGAUGGGACAUCCACCACUUAACACACCCUGUAACUCUUCUGAAGUCAAGUCUCGUACACCCAAAUGCCUCUCUGCAGCUGCCACAACAACCUCAAUUAUCUGCGACGUAUAUUCCGUCCCUGCAGUACAGUUGAUAACCAUUGCUAUAAAUGCAAUCUUACUGAAACAUAUCACUUGUUGGACUAUGUACGGUACAGGUACAGAUAUACUACUCACACCACUCCUCUCAGGAUCCCUCCCCAUUGACUCAUCUUCCUCUACUGCCUUCACUGCCUCAGCAUAUGAAAACUUCUGCACUACUCUAACCCUGGAAACCUCAA